rnacentral:tmRNA from 1 species
GGGGACGCGUGGUUUCGACAGGGGGUUGUUCUGUGGAAUUGCAGGCCGAGGUGCCGUCUCGCCUCGUAAAACAGGCGGCAAAACAAUAAAUGGCGAGCCUCAACUCGCACUAGCCGCCUAAGGGCUGCUACGUCUGUCUUCGUCUCGCUCCGAGGACGGGGAACAGGCGCCAUGUUAUCGGAGUGCGGUUAACCCAUACGUCGAUAAGGGUUGCCAAAGAACUAUCGACUAACUUGGCUGCUACUCUGCCGGUGGAGGGGUGCCCGGGUGAAUAAUUAAGCACCGGAUAUGCCUGUAGUACAUUCUAGUGGGGCGCUUUCUGGACGGGGGGUUCGACUCCCCCCCGUCUCCACCA